AGAAAGCUGGAGCAGCUCUGUCUUUUAGCUUAAAAUAGUUUCAAACCUCUGCACUUUUGUGAAAACUGUCAAGUAAAAGUAUGUAAAAAUGCUUGUUCAGCGUUUUGGUUGGACUAACAGACACUCCAAGGAGUCGCUGUUCAGUUUUCUGAGUCCAGAUAUGGUCUGCUCCUGGUAUCGGAAACAAGAUGGCGACGCAAGAUAGCGACGAGUAUAACGCUGAACU